UGCUCAUAUGAAGAUCAGUGGAUGGCGAAUUCACAGAUGGAGAACAGCCUUCUUCCAUUAGGGUCAGUGAUGAAAAUCCAUGGUCUAAAUGAAUGCAUUACAGUCUCUUUGCUGAAGCAUAUGGCACUGAAGCACCUCUCGGCAACAUUUCCAAAAUUGUGUACUGAGAUUCUUGCAGUUGCAUCGGAUAGCAAGCGCAACAUAGAUGUCAAAGCACAAUCUGUUCAGCAGGUACUGAUCCUAUGCCCAUUUGUGAAUCCUGCACUUUUUAGGAAAAAAGGAUUUUGAACUGCAACCAUUGAUAAGCAACUCCAAAAGAAGCUUGUUUAUAAUAUUCAGAAGCAUGGACUAGCCAAGGCCAGAGUAACUGCCACCAAGGCCAUUGACACUGCAAAAAGUUACGGAUCUUUCUCCUGGUGAUUCUAAGACUGCAAGCAGAACGCAAGCACAAUAUAAUUCACUGAAAGGGUGCAUAAUGAGCUUGGUCCGAACUCAAAGAAGCGAACAUUGGAAUUUA